GGUGAGGUGUCCGAGUGGCUAAAAAAAAAAAGAGGAGCACGCCUGGAAAGUGUGUAUACGGCAACGUAUCGGGGGUUCGAAUCCCCCCCUCACCGCCA
rnacentral:tRNA from 1 species